rnacentral:rRNA from 1 species
AUUGAAGGCUGGCGGCAUGCUUUACACAUGCAAGUCGAACGGUAGAGGGGCAACCCUUGAGAGUGGCGAACGGGUGAGUAAUGCAUCGGAACGUGCCCAGUAGUGGGGGAUAGCCCGGCGAAAGCCGGAUUAAUACCGCAUGAGACCUGAGGGUGAAAGCGGGGGAUCGCAAGACCUCGCGCUAUUGGAGCGGCCGAUGUCAGAUUAGCUAGUUGGUGGGGUAAAGGCCUACCAAGGCGACGAUCUGUAGCUGGUCUGAGAGGACGACCAGCCACACUGGGACUGAGACACGGCCCAGACUCCUACGGGAGGCAGCAGUGGGGAAUUUUGGACAAUGGGCGCAAGCCUGAUCCAGCCAUGCCGCGUGCGGGAAGAAGGCCUUCGGGUUGUAAACCGCUUUUGUCAGGGAAGAAAUCUUCUGGGCUAAUACCCUGGGAGGAUGACGGUACCUGAAGAAUAAGCACCGGCUAACUACGUGCCAGCCGCCGCAGUAAAAC